GCUGGGUGUGGUGGUGCAUGCCUGUAAUCCCAGUGAUUCAGAAGGCUGAGGCAGGAGGAUUGCAAGUUUGAGGCCAGCUUUAGCAAUUUAGUGAGACCCUGUCUCAA
rnacentral:sRNA from 1 species